CUGGGGCUCCGCGAUCCACAGCAGAGGACACCAAGGGCUGGCACCCCUCCGGCAGGAAACGGCACCACACCUUCGGAGCCCUGAUGUCCUGGAGCCGGUAGUGGCACUGCACCAGGAUGGCGCCCCCCACAGGGUGACUGAGGAGCAAACACGCCUUGGAAGCCGAAGACAGUGUAUCAGCUCCAGAGAGACUUGCUUUCAUCCUUCCCCUCUCUCCCUGGAGAUCUGCUUACCUUCUGGAGUGAAGCUCUCUCUCUCCCCGGAGAAGAAGGGCCAAUGUGCCAGAUGCUGUAUAUAAGCUCCCAGUCUCAUAAUUUGGGUUCCUCUCCCAUGACACAAACCCACUGCCUGUACAGGAAACAUCUGGCCCUCAUUCAUGUCACCCUGUGCAGACUUGGGGUUGGGAGAUCCUGCAGAGAAUGUAAGUAAUAAAGGUCCUGCCCUGGAUCACCAGGGGGCAUCCGUGCUCAGACCACCAGAGCCGGCAGUGGGUGACUGGGCGGGGGGGGGCACUGCCCUGGGCUGGGCAGUCACACCUAGAAAGGGGGCUAGAGAAACCACCCUCCCUCCAGCCGCUCCCUCCUUUCUCUCCUUCCCUCUCUCUGCCUCCCCCCUUCCUUCAGGAGCAGGGAGUUGAGCUGGGAAACUGGGAGCAGGAGCCAGAGAGAGCCGGAAAAUGUGUUAGGCUGAACCUAGUGGAAGUGGAAAAGGGGUGACCGGCUAUCCCUGUUUGCCUGGGACUGAGGGUUUUCCCAGGACAUGGGACUUUCAGUACUAACACUGGCAAAGUCUGGGGCAAACCAGACAGAUGGGUCACCCUAGCAGGUGAUGUGGAAGGACCGAUAUCUGUCCUGCCAAUAUGUGUCAGGCUUUCUUUGAUUCCCUUACAACAAAAUUAUUUACAGACUCAUAGCCACAUGGGAGUGUUGUGUGACAGAGAGACCUGUCCUCAGUUAGGUAACUGAGUGCCUGAAAUGGAACAGUCUACUGCUGGAUGCCAGGACAGAGGUGCCCAGGCAGGACGCUGGCCUCUAGGGAGGUGUCGCAUCCCUUUGUGCUGAAGCCGGGGAUAAUCCAGGACCUAUGAUGUGACAGGCAUCUAGCCAAAGCCUUUCAUUAAUGGUGUUUCAUUCAACCUCAUGAAAACCCAGCAAAGCAGGGAUGUUUUGUUUUUUAAUAGGUGGGGAUUCUGAGGAGCAGAGAAAUGAAGGAGCUUGCUUACGGUUUCAUAGGAAAAGCUGAAGUUUGCAACCGAAUUAUCAGACCCCCUUUUUAGUCCAGUGUGUGCCCCAGAGUCCAAGGGCAGGGGAUCCCAAUGGCAAUCCAAACCCCGAGGUGGAUGUCCCCAACGUAGCAGACCAGGAAAGAGAAAGGGCAAGCUCCCGAGAGCAGGAAGGCCGCAGCCUUGCCGGAGCUGCCUCCUCCCCUACCAUCUCAUCAGCAUCGGUGCCCUGAGGGGGCACCAGGGAGGCAGAGGCGGAGCUGGCUCUGGCCUGGAUCCUAGGCUAGGGCCAAGGUCCAUGCGAAGGAGACCAGGGCCGGGAAGCGCUGAAAGCAUCACGUGCUGCUGAGUCAGGGGGCCGGGGAAAGAGGUUGGGCCGGAACACACUCCAGGCAGCAGCCCAGGGAUGGGGUGGGGCAGUGCUGCGGCAGGCCUGGGGCCCAAUGAUGUGUCCCUGCGGCUGGGACACAAGGGCAGCACUGGGGGUCCCUUCUGGGCACCCAUGCCCACAUUAGGGGACAAAGCAGCCACAUGUGGCCUUGGCUAGAGGGUUUCCUGCACUUCCACCUUCCUGAGAUGCAGGAGAGACAGCUGGAGGAUGUGGUCGCCUUGUUUCCCCAUCUUCCAGGUGGCACACCUGGGGAAGUCUUCCGCCAGGUCCCCCUCACUCUUGGACGGGUAUGUAUGUGUAUUGAAGAGAGAGAUGAGGUUCCCUGGGCUGCCCUGGCUGUUCCAUCUUCCCAGAAUACUCUGCCCCCGGAGAGCCUCAUGAUUCGCUUCCUUGACCCCUCCAAGUGCUUCUCAAAUGGGACCUCCUGACCCUCCUUUACAGUCACAUCAUGCCCUGUCCCUUCUGUGUUCCUGAGGCCCCCAACCCUGCUUCAUUUUAAUUUUUCCUCAGCAGUUUUGCCUUUUCACACACCAUCUGGUUGUCGCCCUUCUCCGCCCUUUACAACUUGGCUCUCCAUUGGGCACAAAUCUUUGCCUGUUUAUUUUACUGCUGUGCCUCUAAUGCCCAGAACAGUACCUUGCACAGAAAAUACCUGUUGAAUAAUCAAUGACUGAAGGAGCAGGAGGGAGCUAGAGGGAAGGACACCUUGAACACCAAGCAAAAUUUGGAUUUCCAGGCUCUGCCAGAGACUGGGCUCCUUGGAGAUACAAGGACAGCAUGUGGGAGGCCUCGAGGUGGCCUACAGCCUGGAAUCUGCCCUCAGAGAAGGAAUGGAGACACCUGGAGCUUCCAUGGACUCAGGACACCUCCUCACUCAGCACAAUGCCUGGGAUGGGGCUUUGUGGGGCUUCGAGGAACUACAAUCAGAAGACCUGUGUUCUGGGCAUAAGUCUACCUGCUGAAUACAUUUAAACACAUCUCCUCCCUGGA